rnacentral:tRNA from 1 species
GCGCCCGGAAACGGCCAGGUCAGGCCCGCCCAUCCGAUGGUCGGCUCAAGCGCCUUCUAAGCGCUUGGCCGCAGGUUCGAGUCCUGCCGGGGGCGCCA